AUUGAACGCUGGCGGCAGGCCUAACACAUGCAAGUCGAGCGGAUGAAGGGAGCUUGCUCCUGGAUUCAGCGGCGGACGGGUGAGUAAUGCCUAGGAAUCUGCCUGGUAGUGGGGGAUAACGUCCGGAAACGGGCGCUAAUACCGCAUACGUCCUGAGGGAGAAAGUGGGGGAUCUUCGGACCUCACGCUAUCAGAUGAGCCUAGGUCGGAUUAGCUAGUUGGUGGGGUAAAGCCCUACCAAGGCGACGAUCCGUAACUGGUCUGAGAGGAUGAUCAGUCACACUGGAACUGAGACACGGUCCAGACCCCUACGGGAGGCAGCAGUGGGGAAUAUUGGACAAUGGGCGAAAGCCUGAUCCAGCCAUGCCGCGUGUGUGAAGAAGGUCUUCGGAUUGUAAAGCACUUUAAGUUGGGAGGAAGGGCAGUAAGUUAAUACCUUGCUGUUUUGACGUUACCAACAGAAUAAGCACCGGCUAACUUCGUG
rnacentral:rRNA from 1 species